UACCGCUCAUCACACAUAACGAAGAAGGUCGCACGUAGUUUUGGUGCUGAGUCCCAGAAGAAACCGGGCUGCAAUCAUGCUAGGACAAGCUGUGAGACGAUUCGCGACGUCUGCCGUUCGCUCUUCACACUACGCUGAAGGGCCAGGAAAGAACCUGCCGUUUUCGGUGGAGAACAAGUGGCGUCUGCUGGGUAUGAUGGUGCUGUUCUUUGGCAGUGGCUUUGCAUUCCCCUUCAUUGUCGUCAGACAUCAGAUCCUGAAGAAG